rnacentral:rRNA from 1 species
UGCAGUCGAGCGAUGAUGCCCAGCUUGCUGGGUGGAUUAGUGGCGAACGGGUGAGUAACACGUGAGUAACCUGCCCCUGACUCUGGGAUAAGCGUUGGAAACGACGUCUAAUACUGGAUAUGAUCACUGGCCGCAUGGUCUGGUGGUGGAAAGAUUUUUUGGUUGGGGAUGGACUCGCGGCCUAUCAGCUUGUUGGUGAGGUAAUGGCUCACCAAGGCGACGACGGGUAGCCGGCCUGAGAGGGUGACCGGCCACACUGGGACUGAGACACGGCCCAGACUCCUACGGGAGGCAGCAGUGGGGAAUAUUGCACAAUGGGCGAAAGCCUGAUGCAGCAACGCCGCGUGAGGGAUGACGGCCUUCGGGUUGUAAACCUCUUUUAGUAGGGAAGAAGCGAAAGUGACGGUACCUGCAGAAAAAGCACCGGCUAACUACGUGCCAGCAGCCGCGGUAUACGUAUGGUGCAAGCGUUGUCCGGAAUUAUAGGGCGUCGAGAGCUCGUAGCGCUGUCGCGUCUGCUGUGUAAUCCCGACGCUCGACAUCACGCUGCAGUGUGUACUGACAGACUAGAGUGCGUACGCGAGACUGCAGUACUGUGUAGCAUGAGUGCGCAGAUAUCAGAUGCA